rnacentral:tRNA from 1 species
GUGCCCGUAGUUCAAUGGUAGAACGCUUCUCUGUGGAGGAAGUCAUGUGGGUUCGAUUCCCAUCGGGCACCCCA